AUGAAACUUGUGAGUGGUGGAAUACAAACCGAAGCUCCCAUGUCCUUGAGCCACACCCUGAACAUUCUGGAAGCUAUGCACAGAGGCGCUGGACUUCACCACAUUCUCAUGGCUCACUGUUACCUAAGGAGCAGCAAGUUCAUUGCAACUGCUCUGGACACCUGGCAGAGGAGCUUAACGACACGUAAAGAGAUCCAAUCAGAACACAGAAGCCAGCUGCCUGUUGCUGACUUGGGAAAGUUUGCUUCGGUGAAGCCUUGUUUUAUAUGAAUGAGCCUACUCCUAACUGCACCUAUUAACAAGGUGGAGUUUGCUAGCAGUCCUCCCAACUGCCUCUUACUCUGAUUAUGAAUCGUGGAGGUCCUCUGAAUUCAGCGGGGUAUACAGCUUGCAAAUCGGAGAGCCUUUCCUCUCCCCACGACUCAUGGCAUCUGUAGAAUUUUUACGAAAGUUGCUUUCUUCAAUUGAUAGGGACAAUAUGUCCUGGAUCUGUGCUUUACUUAAUUUUUGCUGUGGCUGACAUUUUUUAAUUUGAGCUCUUUCACAGAUUCCCUCCCCACUCCUCCCCUAGUGGCUUCAUUUGGUAUUCAAUGCAAGCUAAAAAUAAGAC
rnacentral:lncRNA from 1 species